rnacentral:miRNA from 1 species
UUCGGCAAAUUGUACUCUCGCUA